GGAGUCGACACCUGUCCACCUAAAGCAAACGCUGCGUUUCAUUUAAAUUAUUCUGCAUCCAUGUGGGCUUCGUAUUUUUUCGGGCCUUAUUUUUUCACACUUUACCAGCCCAUUACGGCAACGCACCGUUCUGAUGAUAGAGUUGGCCACCUCUUCAUCUCCGCUAUUCGAGGUCGACGCACAAUUUGAGUUCUGAAAGCGUUGAUUUCUACGCCACAGUCGACAACGAAAUCUAGGGUUCAUCUUAUUCUUUGAUGAUCUUCACCAACAAUGGAGUUUCAGGAGGAUGCAUGAGUUAAAUGGUCUUGAAGAAUUCUAUAAGAAGCUUCGAUUGCGUCUUUACGCCUUUCUUUCUAAUCCUUCGAAACGUUAGAGGUUAUUAAUUCAUUGCUUUAACAAACCUCUUAAUACCAUCAACCCACAUCAAGCACGAUCUGAGAUUGAUGCAUCUUAUCCCUCUGCAAGUCGGUCUCUCUGUAAGCCCUCUUUCCUUAAACACCAUCCUCUCAAUCUGUGAUAGCACCAAAGUUCAUUUAUUCUAUGAACGGCUAACUCACUAAUUCCUCUUCUUUAAUGGCUUCUCGAGCUGCGACACAAGAAGCUGCGAUGAAUGGAGUCCUCAUCGGUUCGAACCAGCCUUACGGACGAAGGAGUCACAGAGAUCUCCGAUUAUGUGCCUCUCAUUCCUCCUCCCGAGAUCACACUCAUCAUGUUUAUUGCUUAAAUAGAGGAGCAUUACGUGGCUAUGUGAGGAGAUGGAGUUGAGUUGAGGGUGAUAGCUCUUACAGAUUUAGAUGUUCUACGGUUCGUCAGAUUUUUCAAUCGAUAGAAGGUUUAUAGUUUUUUGUCAAGUGUAAGUGUGGAUGGAUAUUAAGUUUACCCACGGUUUUCCGGUGUAUGAUAGUCAGCUCAAUCAACGAUGAAGAUGAAGAACAUUGGAGGUCACGUGUCAAUGGCAUUCUCUACGACCAAGGUCCAUCAGAUGAUCACCGCUACAGCUCAACCCUGCCGCCAUAGCCGCUGAAUCCUCUCAACACCAUCUUAACCUCUUGGCCUCAGCCUCUUCAGUCGCCACAACAAACGCCGUGACCGCGAGUAAUAUUAAUACUGCAUCAGUUGACUUUUCUUCGGUUUACACUGCAGCAGCGGCUCCGAUCAACUCUUUUAUCAACCCCGAGGACGACAAAGCAGUUCGCAGCUGAAGAGAGCUCAAGAGAGAGAGUGCAUAAUCCCUAACCGGAAGUAUUGUAACAGGAUGGUUUCUUAACAAUUACGCAACAAGGAAUCUGAAGUUUGAGAUGUACAAGAUUGAAACGGUAACAAUGAGAUGAGCCUCGAACCUAAAAAUAUGGGGAUGAAGGAGUGGCUGAAAGAGAAUGUAAAAGAGGAGGAAUAUGUGGUGAUGAAGACAGAGGUUGAGGUGUUGGAGGAGAUGGUGAGGAGCAAGACGAUAAAAUGGUGGAUAAGCUUUGCUUGGAAUGCAAGCCAAUGGGUACUAGGGUUAAGGGGAAGGAACAUGGAGACAGACGUAAAAGAGGAUAUCUAUCAAACCAUGCGUUUUUUUUCUUUACAUUAUCUGCUUUUUUUUCUUCCGUUUUGUUGUCAGAAUUGUUUUAAUCAUGUUAUGAUAAUUCUGUAUUGUUGUGAUUUUUAGUAUUUUGUGAAGUUGUAAGUUUGGGGAUCUAAUGAGCUUUAAUUAAUUAUGUUAAGUAAUUCCUCGC